UUGAUCCUGCCAGUAGUCAUAUGCUUGUCUCAAAGAUUAAGCCAUGCAUGUCUCAGUACAAGCCACAUUAAGGUGAAACCGCGAAAGGCUCAUUAAAUCAGUUAUGGUUCCUUAGAUCGUACCCACAUUUACUUGGAUAACUGUGGUAAUUCUAGAGCUAAUACAUGCAAACAGAGUUCCGACCGGAGACGGGAGGAAUGCUUUUAUUAGAUCAAAACCAAUCGGCGGCGGGUGCGUUCGCGCGCCCGUUCGCCGCUCAACCUGGUGACUCUGAAUAACUUUCGGCUGAUCGCACGGUCCAGCACCGGCGACGCAUCUUUCAAAUGUCUGCCUUAUCAACUGUCGAUGGUAGGUUCUGCGCCUACCAUGGUCGUAACGGGUAACGGGGAAUCAGGGUUCGAUUCCGGAGAGGGAGCCUGAGAAACGGCUACCACAUCCAAGGAAGGCAGCAGGCGCGCAAAUUACCCACUCCCGGCACGGGGAGGUAGUGACGAAAAAUAACGAUACGGG
rnacentral:rRNA from 1 species